rnacentral:rRNA from 1 species
AUACGUAGGUCCCGAACGUUGCGCGAAAUUACUGGGCGUAAAGGGUCCGUAGGCGGUCUGGUAAGUGGAAGGUGAAAGCCUGGGGCUCAACUCCAGAAUUGCCUUCCAAACUGCCGGACUUGAGGCAGGGAGAGGUCGGCGGAAUUCCCGGUGUAGUGGUGAAAUGCGUAGAUAUCGGGAGGAACACCAGUGGCGAAGGCGGCCGACUGGAACUGUCCUGACGCUGAGGCGCGAAAGCGUGGGGAGCAAACAGGAUUAGAUACCCUAGUAGUCC